rnacentral:lncRNA from 1 species
UUGGAAGCAGCCCACCACCAUCUUGGGAGCUCUGGGAGCAAGGACCCCCCGGUAACAAACAGACACAAGAGAAUUAGGAUACUAUAAGAAGAUUGGGAUAGAUACUGAGUGAGCCUCAGAAAAUCAGCUGGAUACACCCCAGCUGCAGCAGAGCCAUCAGAAAACAACUCCUGAUUUUAGUUGAUCAGAUUCAAGUCAAUGAAAAAAUGACGUUUCUGUGUGUCUACUUCGGGCUAAGCACCAGGGUAGGCACAAGAGAGAUCACAGGGAUGAAUUAGUCCUAGCCCCUUGGAGAUUAUCCUCUCACCCUCUCCCCGCCAUAGUUAUCUUGGUCCUUUUCACAUAUAUCUUAGCAGGUUCUGUUUCAGGCAAAGUUUCACUUCUGUAUAUGUUUGUUACUACUGUUCAUUUGAGAUCUGCCACUAACCCUCAUUAUGACCUGGGACAUGUCUGUGGCCCCUCCACAUGCUGGCAGGAUA